rnacentral:rRNA from 1 species
UAAGAACGAGACCUUAACCUGCUAAAUAGACCAGUUGACUUGGUUGACUGCUGUCUUCUUAGAGGGACUAUCAGCGUUUAGCUGAUGGAAGUUUGAGGCAAUAACAGGUCUGUGAUGCCCUUAGAUGUUCUGGGCCGCACGCGCGCUACACUGACAGAGCCAGCGAGUUUUUUCCUUUGCCGGAAGGCAUGGGUAAUCUUGUGAAACUCUGUCGUGAUGGGGAUAGAGCAUUGCAAUC